rnacentral:snRNA from 1 species
AUCGCUUCUCGGCCUUUUGGCUAAGAUCAAGUGUAGUAUCAAUAUAGUAACCAGACCAAAUCUUUUGCAAGUAAGACAAUCUCUGUCAUAACAGACAUGCUAUUAUUUUUCCCACCCUUUAAAAAAAACAGCAGUCUUU